CCUACGGGGGGCUGCAGUGGGGAAUAUUGGACAAUGGGCGGAAGCCUGAUCCAGCAACGCCGCGUGAGGGAUGACGGCCUUCGGGUUGUAAACCUCUUUCAGUAUCGACGAAGCGCCUGUAUGGGUGGUGACGGUAGGUACAGAAGAAGCACCGGCCAACUACGUGCCAGCAGCCGCGGUAAUACGUAGGGUGCGAGCGUUGUCCGGAAUUAUUGGGCGUAAAGGGCUCGUAGGCGGUUUGUCGCGUCGGGAGUGAAAACACUGGGCUUAACCGAGUGCUUGCUUUCGAUACGGGCAGACUAGAGGUAUGCAGGGGAGAACGGAAUUCCUGGUGUAGCGGUGAAAUGCGCAGAUAUCAGGGGGAACACCGGUGGCGAAGGCGGUUCUCUGGGCAUUACCUGACGCUGAGGAGCGAAAGUGUGGGGAGCGAAC
rnacentral:rRNA from 1 species